UGCUGAUGAUGAUGAUGAUGAUGAUGAUGAUGAUGAUGAUGAUGAUGACGAUGAUGAUCCUCAUCGUAAUCAUCAUCAUCACCACCAUCACCAUCACCAUCAUCAUCAUCAUCAUCAUCAUCAUCAUCAUCAUCAUCA
rnacentral:pre_miRNA from 1 species